UCGGCCUACGGGGGGCAGCAGUGAGGAAUAUUGGUCAAUGGGAGAGAUCCUGAACCAGCCAAGCCGCGUGAGGGAAGACGGCCCUAUGGGUUGUAAACCUCUUUUGUCGGAGAACAAAACCCGGGACGAGUCCCGGACUGCGUGUAUCCGAAGAAAAAGCAUCGGCUAACUCCGUGCCAGCAGCCGCGGUAAUACGGAGGAUGCGAGCGUUAUCCGGAUUUAUUGGGCGUAAAGCGAGUGCAGGCGGUUCAAUAAGGCU
rnacentral:rRNA from 1 species